rnacentral:misc_RNA from 1 species
GAUGAAGAACGCAGCGAAAUGCGAUAAGUAAUGUGAAUUGCAGAAUUCAGUGAACCAUCGAAUCUUUGAACGCACAUUGCGCCCGGCAGUAAUCUGCCGGGCAUGCCUGUCCGAGCGUCAUUUCUGCCCUCGAGCGAGUCCAGCAUCUAGGUGCUGGGCCCGCCCGGCGUUGGGGCACUACGGGAAGCCCUGUGCUGUCCCCCGUAGGCCCCGAAAUGAAGUGGCGGUCCUGCCGCGGCGCCCCCUGCGUAGUAUAACAGCUCGCUUCGGGACCCGGUGGAGGCCUGCCGUCAAACCUUACUCUCUAAGUUUGACCUCGGAUCAGGUAGGGUUACCCGCUGAACUAAGCAUAUCAAUAAGCGGAGGA